UUGAAAGUUCUUCAGUUUCUGGCGAGAAUUUUCCUCCUGGGAUUAGAGAUUAUCAGUUCUUUUUUGCUUGAAAAUCUUGGGGAUUCGUUAUGAAUUUGAGCGAGCAUCACAUAGAACAGCAGUGAACAGUUCUUUUUGUUCCAAAAAAAUAACAGUCGAUCCUCUCACCGCCAAAAGCGAGCUUUUUUUCUUUUUUGUUUUGGUCUAGUUCUGCAUUUUGGAGAUUUCUGUAUAUGCUGGCAGUAUAACUAUAUCAAUUUCAACAUCACAUUGUUUACUUCUGAUGUUUUGUUGGAAGAAUAAUAUUUUGUUUUUAACUUUGGUGCAGGGUUUUCAUCACAUUAUUUCGCCAUCUGCUGCAAUAAUACUUAUAACUACAAGCUCAAGUCAAGCCCCCACGAGGUGAUCAGUCUCAAAUGUUUGCAUCCUCUCAUAUAUUUAUUUCUCUGUGGCCCAUGUUAUAUCGAGUUGCUACGGCCAUCUGAUUCAGUUUAGAUAAAGAAUUCUCAUUAGUAACAAUCCUAAUAAUUUCACUGCAAUGUAGUUUUACAUCACCCUGUACUUGGGUGAAAGCAUAAUGUUACAGAAUAAAAUAAAUGUUACAGGAUAAAUUAGUUUGGCGACAUAAAGAGAUAGAAACAUGCCAACUUGGUUCCUGGGUCCUUGGCUAAACUGCUGAUGCUCAUGCAUUUAGCAGAGGCCACAUUAACUGAUUGUCCAAAAAACAUCAGUUUAUUUUCAGUUCAACUCUCACACAAACACAAGCCUCAGAGCUUCAGUGAAGUUCUGUUGUAAAGAAAGCAUUUCUACAAAUAGAGCAUUGCACCAGUAAAGGAUUCAACCAAAAUAACCAUUCUACAUCUUGGUAUAAAGAAAUUUGAAGUUCUGAACCCACAAGUACAUCCAAUGGUCGUGUCUUUAGAUAUGAAACUGCUUUGAACUUUAAAAAGCUUUUUGGCUAGGCAGAGGGUAAGAUCCAACCACUUGAGAAGUUCAGAUUGGUGGGAAACAAUGACUAAUUUCCAUGACAUUCAGAAAGGAUUGAUUUUACUAAUUCCCUAAGGGUAAAAGACAGCUAUAAACUACUUCCUCAGUUUCACAAUGUAAGUCAUUCUAGCAUUUUCCACAUUCAUAUUGAUGCUAAUAUCUAUAUAUAUCUAAAUUCAUUAGCAUCAAUAUGAAUGUGGAAAAUGCUAGAAUGACUUGCAUUGUGAAUAUCUAAAUUCAUUAGCAUCAAUAUGAAUAUGGAAAAUGCUAGAAUGACUUACAUUGUGAAACGGAGGGAGUAUAAAAUAAGACUGCACCAUGCAAUACCUCUUCCAAUAGAACCAGGGUCUUUCAAUGAACAUAACAAUUUUUAAGGAGCAACAGUUUGCCACAGGCUUAGAAAUGAAAAUGGAUUAGGAUCACCAUCUUGCAAUAGACUUCCCCAUCUCCAGCACUAUUUCUGGAUUAAACAGAACAGGAAAUGACCGCAAAUGCCAUUCCUCCAGUAAGGACCCUUCAGGAUUGGUUCAUGAUGAACUUGGACACUAUAUAAUUCCACACCACAAACAGAACAGGUUAUGGCCGCUUGGUUGAGAAAUUCGUCCAUAACCUUAGAUAUGAAAGGAAAUAUUAUAUUGGAAUUUAGGCAACAUUAUCAUCCUUUGCUUUGCACUUCUAAGAAAGUUAAUUUCCUACUUUGGAUAAAGAAUAUAUAUACCUUUUGAUAAGUAGGUCCACCUGAUAAUGCAUAAGAAUAACAAUCUUGUUACGAACAAGAAAGCAGUUUGUUAAGAAAGAUGAAAUAGCAGAAAUCAUUGGGGAAACAUGGUAACAUCAC
rnacentral:lncRNA from 1 species